GAUGAACGCUGGCGGCGUGCUUAACACAUGCAAGUCGAACGGAAAGGCCUCUGCUUGCAGGGGUACUCGAGUGGCGAACGGGUGAGUAACACGUGGGUGAUCUGCCCUGCACUUCGGGAUAAGCCUGGGAAACUGGGUCUAAUACCGGAUAGGACAAUGGUUUGGAUGCCGUUGUGGAAAGUUUUUCGGUGUGGGAUGAGCUCGCGGCCUAUCAGCUUGUUGGUGGGGUAAUGGCCUACCAAGGCGUCGACGGGUAGCCGGCCUGAGAGGGUGUACGGCCACAUUGGGACUGAGAUACGGCCCAGACUCCUACGGGAGGCAGCAGUGGGGAAUAUUGCACAAUGGGCGCAAGCCUGAUGCAGCGACGCCGCGUGGGGGAUGACGGCCUUCGGGUUGUAAACUCCUUUCGUUAGGGACGAAGCGUUUUUGUGACGGUACCUGGAGAAGAAGCACCGGCUAACUACGUGCCAGCAGCCGCGGUAAUACGUAGGGUGCGAGCGUUGUCCGGAAUUACUGGGCGUAAAGAGCUCGUAGGUGGUUUGUCGCGUCGUUUGUGUAAGCCCGCAGCUUAACUGCGGGACUGCAGGCGAUACGGGCAUAACUUGAGUGCUGUAGGGGAGACUGGAAUUCCUGGUGUAGCGGUGGAAUGCGCAGAUAUCAGGAGGAACACCGAUGGCGAAGGCAGGUCUCUGGGCAGUAACUGACGCUGAGGAGCGAAAGCAUGGGUAGCGAACAGGAUUAGAUACCCUGGUAGUCCAUGCCGUAAACGGUGGGCGCUAGGUGUGAGUCCCUUCCACGGGGUUCGUGCCGUAGCUAACGCAUUAAGCGCCCCGCCUGGGGAGUACGGCCGCAAGGCCAAAACUCAAAGGAAUUGACGGGGGCCCGCACAAGCGGCGGAGCAUGUGGAUUAAUUCGAUGCAACGCGAAGAACCUUACCUGGGCUUGACAUACACCAGACCGGGCCAGAGAUGGUCUUUCCCUUUGUGGUUGGUGUACAGGUGGUGCAUGGUUGUCGUCAGCUCGUGUCGUGAGAUGUUGGGUUAAGUCCCGCAACGAGCGCAACCCUUGUCUUAUGUUGCCAGCAAUUCGGUUGGGGACUCGUGAGAGACUGCCGGGGUUAACUCGGAGGAAGGUGGGGAUGACGUCAAAUCAUCAUGCCCCUUAUGUCCAGGGCUUCACACAUGCUACAAUGGUCGGUACAACGCGUCUGCGAGCCUGUGAGGGUGAGCUAAUCGCUGUAAAGCCGGUCGUAGUUCGGAUUGGGGUCUGCAACUCGACCCCAUGAAGUCGGAGUCGCUAGUAAUCGCAGAUCAGCAACGCUGCGGUGAAUACGUUCCCGGGCCU
rnacentral:rRNA from 1 species